UACAGAGGGGGCAAGCGUUGUUCGGAAUUACUGGGCGUAAAGGGCGCGUAGGCGGCCUGCUAAGUCGAACGUGAAAUCCCCGGGCUCAACCCGGGAACUGCGUCCGAUACUGGCAGGCUUGAAUUCGGGAGAGGGAUGCGGAAUUCCAGGUGUAGCGGUGAAAUGCGUAGAUAUCUGGAGGAACACCGGUGGCGAAGGCGGCAUCCUGGACCGAAAUUGACGCUGAGGCGCGAAAGCCAGGGAGCAAAGCGGG
rnacentral:rRNA from 1 species